rnacentral:rRNA from 1 species
UACGUAGGGAGCAAGCGUUGUUCGGAUUUACUGGGCGUAAAGGGCGCGUAGGCGGCAAAUUAAGUCAGCUGUGAAAUCUCCGAGCUUAACUCGGAACUGUCAGCUGAUACUGAUCUGCUAGAGUGCGGAAGGGGCAAUCGGAAUUCUUGGUGUAGCGGUGAAAUGCGUAGAUAUCAAGAGGAACACCUGAGGUGAAGACGGGUUGCUGGGCCGACACUGACGCUGAGUGCGCGAAAGCCAGGGGAGCAUACGGG